rnacentral:miRNA from 1 species
UAGUAUAAGGACUAAAUUGGU